rnacentral:rRNA from 1 species
CGAACGGCAGCRCGGGAGCAAUCCUGGUGGCGAGUGGCGAACGGGUGAGUAAUACAUCGGAACGUGCCCAGUAGUGGGGGAUAACCCGGCGAAAGCCGGACUAAUACCGCAUACGACCUACGGGUGAAAGCGGGGGAUCGCAAGACCUCGCGCUAUCGGAGCGGCCGAUGUCAGAUUAGCUAGUUGGUGGGGUAAAAGCCUACCAAGGCGACGAUCUGUAGCUGGUCUGAGAGGACGACCAGCCACACUGGGACUGAGACACGGCCCAGACUCCUACGGGAGGCAGCAGUGGGGAAUUUUGGACAAUGGGGGCAACCCUGAUCCAGCCAUGCCGCGUGCGGGAAGAAGGCCUUCGGGUUGUAAACCGCUUUUGUCAGGGAAGANACGCUCCGGGCUAAUACCACGGAGUAAUG